rnacentral:rRNA from 1 species
CAGUCGCCACGGGAAUACGGAGGGGGCUAGCGUUGUUCGGAAUUACUGGGCGUAAAGCGCACGUAGGCGGCUUGGUAAGUUAGAGGUGAAAGCCCGGAGCUCAACUCCGGAAUUGCCUUUAAGACUGCCGAGCUAGCAGGUGAGAGAGGUAAGUGGAAUUCCGAGUGUAGAGGUGAAAUUCGUAGAUAUUCGGAAGAACACCAGUGGCGAAGGCGGCUUACUGGCUCAUACUGGACGCUGAGGUGCGAAAGCGUGGGGAGCAAACAGGAUUAGAUACCCCUGUAGUCCCUGUCUCUUAUAC